CCUACGGGUGGCAGCAGUGGGGAAUAUUGCACAAUGGGGGAAACCCUGAUGCAGCGACGCCGCGUGAGUGAAGAAGUAAUUCGUUAUGUAAAGCUCUAUCAGCAGGGAAGAAAAUGCCGGUACCUGAUUAAGAAGCCCCGGCUAACUACGUGCCAGCAGCCGCGGUAAUACGGAGGGGGCACGCGUUAUCUGGAUUUACUGGGUGUAAAGGUAGCGUAGACGGCAGUGCAAGUCUGGAGUGAAAGGCGGGGGCUCAACCCCCGGACUGCUCUGGAAACUGUACGGCUGGAGUGCAGGAGAGGUAAGUGGAAUUCCUGGUGUAGGAGUGAAAUCCGUAGAUAUUAGGAGGAACACCAGUGGCGAAGGCGACUAACUGGACUGUAACUGACGUUGAGGCUCGAAAGCGUGGGGAGCAAACAGGAUUAGAUACCCCUGUAGUC
rnacentral:rRNA from 1 species